rnacentral:rRNA from 2 species
GUCUUAAUUGACUUGGUAACGCAGCUAACGCGUGAAGUAGACCGCCUGGGGAGUACGGUCGCAAGAUUAAAACUCAAAGGAAUUGACGGGGACCCGCACAAGCGGUGGAUGAUGUGGAUUAAUUCGAUGCAACGCGAAAAACCUUACCUACCCUUGACAUGGAUGGAAUCCUGAAGAGAUUUGGGAGUGCUCGAAAGAGAGCCAUCACACAGGUGCUGCAUGGCUGUCGUCAGCUCGUGUCGUGAGAUGUUGGGUUAAGUCCCGCAACGAGCGCAACCCUUGUCAUUAGUUGCUACGAAAGGGCACUCUAAUGAGACUGCCGGUGACAAACCGGAGGAAGGUGGGGAUGACGUCAAGUCCUCAUGGCCCUUAUGGGUAGGGCUUCACACGUCAUACAAUGGUACAUACAGAGGGCCGCCAACCCGCGAGGGGGAGCUAAUCCCAGAAAGUGUAUCGUAGUCCGGAUUGGAGUCUGCAACUCGACUCCAUGAAGUUGGAAUCGCUAGUAAUCGCGGAUCAGCAUGUCGCGGUGAAUACGUUCCCGGGUCUUGUACACACCGCCCGUCACACCAUGGGAGCGGGU